rnacentral:tRNA from 1 species
GGUCCUCUAGUGUAGCGGUGAACACCCUGGACUUGGAAUCCGGUAACGCGAGUUCGAAUCUCGCCGGGACUU